rnacentral:tRNA from 1 species
UGGGAGUUGGCUCAGUGGUAGAGCGCUUGCCUUGCAUGCAUGAGGCACUGGGUUCGAUUCCUCAGCCCCACAA